UACGGGGGGGGCAAGCGUUGUUCGGAAUUACUGGGCGUAAAGGGCUCGUAGGUGGCCAACUAAGUCAGACGUGAAAUCCCUCGGCUUAACCGGGGAACUGCGUCUGAUACUGGAUGGCUUGAGGUUGGGAGAGGGAUGCGGAAUUCCAGGUGUAGCGGUGAAAUGCGUAGAUAUCUGGAGGAACACCGGUGGCGAAGGCGGCAUCCUGGACCAAUUCUGACGCUGAGACGCGAAAGCGUGGGGAGCAAACAGG
rnacentral:rRNA from 1 species